rnacentral:rRNA from 2 species
GAAAGGCCUUCGGGGUACUCGAGUGGCGAACGGGUGAGUAACACGUGGGUGAUCUGCCCUGCACUUCGGGAUAAGCCUGGGAAACUGGGUCUAAUACCGGAUAUGACCUUGGGAUGCAUGUCUCUUGGUGGAAAGCUUUUGCGGUGUGGGAUGGGCCCGCGGCCUAUCAGCUUGUUGGUGGGGUUAAGGCCUACCAAGGCGACGACGGGUAGCCGGCCUGAGAGGGUGACCGGCCACACUGGGACUGAGAUACGGCCCAGACUCCUACGGGAGGCAGCAGUGGGGAAUAUUGCACAAUGGGCGCAAGCCUGAUGCAGCGACGCCGCGUGAGGGACGACGGCCUUCGGGUUGUAAACCUCUUUCAGCACAGACGAAGCGCAAGUGACGGUAUGUGCAGAAGAAGGACCGGCCAACUACGUGCCAGCAGCCGCGGUAAUACGUAGGGUCCGAGCGUUGUCCGGAAUUACUGGGCGUAAAGAGCUCGUAGGUGGUUUGUCGCGUUGUUCGUGAAAACUCACAGCUCAACUGUGGGCGUGCGGGCGAUACGGGCAGACUAGAGUACUGCAGGGGAGACUGGAAUUCCUGGUGUAGCGGUGGAAUGCGCAGAUAUCAGGAGGAACACCGGUGGCGAAGGCGGGUCUCUGGGCAGUAACUGACGCUGAGGAGCGAAAGCGUGGGGAGCGAACAGGAUUAGAUACCCUGGUAGUCCACGCCGUAAACGGUGGGUACUAGGUGUGGGUUUCCUUCCUUGGGAUCCGUGCCGUAGCUAACGCAUUAAG